CCCUACGGGGCGCAGCAGUGAGGAAUAUUGAUCAAUGGGCGAGAGCCUGAACCAGCCAAGUCGCGUGAGGGAAGACGGUCCUAUGGAUUGUAAACCUCUUUUGCCGGGGAGCAAAAAGCGGUACGUGUACCGCAUCGAGAGUACCCGGAGAAAAAGCAUCGGCUAACUCCGUGCCAGCAGCCGCGGUAACACGGAGGAUGCGAGCGUUAUCCGGAUUUAUUGGGUUUAAAGGGUGCGCAGGCGGCGAGUUAAGUCAGCGGUAAAAUUUCGGGGCUCAACCCCGGCGAGCCGUUGAAACUGGCUUG
rnacentral:rRNA from 1 species